rnacentral:rRNA from 1 species
UCCAGCCUGCCCAGUGAUAAAAUUUAACGGCCGCGGUACCCUAACCGUGCGAAGGUAGCAUAAUCACUUGUUCUUUAAAUGAGGACUAGUAUCAACGGCAUCACGAGGGUUAAACUGUCUCCUUUCUCCAAUCAGUGAAACUGAUCUUCCCGUGAAGAAGCGGGAAUAAACUUAUAAGACGAGAAGACCCCAUGGAGCUUUAAACCCAGUUACAUCCUUAUAUCUAAAUUCUUUUAAACCUUUAAGGUGCUGUACAUCUGGUUUUAGGUUGGGGUGACCGCGGAGUAUAAACUAACCUCCAUAAUGAAUGGAACUAUUUCCUUAUCUAAGAAUUACGCCUCUAAGAAUUAAUAUUUUAACAUUUAAUGAUCCAAUAUUUGAUCAACGAACCAAGUUACCCUGGGGAUAACAGCGCAAUCCGCUUCAAGAGCUCCUAUCGACAAGCGGGUUUACGACCCGAUGUUGGAUCAGGGUAUCCUAGUGGUGCAGUAGUUACUAAAGGUUCGUUUGUUCAACGAUUAAAACCCU